rnacentral:rRNA from 1 species
CACGUAGGGUGCGAGCGUUGUCCGGAAUUACGUGGUAGUAAGCGCGUGUGAGCGGCAGGCCAAGUCGGUGGUGAAAGCGCCCGGCUCAACUGGGCGAGGUCCAUGGAAACUGGUCAGCUGGAGGACGGUAGAGGCGAGUGGAAUUCCCGGUGUAGUGGUGAAAAUGCGUAGAGAUCGGGAGGAACACCUGUGGCGAAGGCGGCCCCCUGGGCCGGCCCGUGACACUGGAG